rnacentral:rRNA from 1 species
UACGUAGGCAGCGAGCGUUGUUCGGAGUUACUGGGCGUAAAGGGUGUGUAGGCGGUUGUUUAAGUUUGGUGUGAAAUCUCCCGGCUCAACUGGGAGGGUGCGCCGAAUACUGAAUGACUAGAGUGUGGGAGAGGUGAGUGGAAUUCCUGGUGUAGCGGUGAAAUGCGCAGAUAUCAGGAGGAACACCAAUUGCGAAGGCAGCUCGCUGGAACGUAACUGACGCUGAGACGCGAAAGCGUGGGGAGCAAACAGG